rnacentral:rRNA from 1 species
AUUGAACGCUGGCGGCAGGCUUAACACAUGCAAGUCGAGCGGGGGAAGGUAGCUUGCUACCGGACCUAGCGGCGGACGGGUGAGUAAUGCUUAGGAAUCUGCCUAUUAGUGGGGGACAACAUCUCGAAAGGGAUGCUAAUACCGCAUACGUCCUACGGGAGAAAGCAGGGGAUCUUCGGACCUUGCGCUAAUAGAUGAGCCUAAGUCGGAUUAGCUAGUUGGUGGGGUAAAGGCCUACCAAGGCGACGAUCUGUAGCGGGUCUGAGAGGAUGAUCCGCCACACUGGGACUGAGACACGGCCCAGACGCCUAAGGGAGGCAGCAGUGGGGAAUAUUGGACAAUGGGGGGAACCCUGAUCCAGCCAUGCCGCGUGUGUGAAGAAGGCCUUAUGGUUGUAAAGCACUUUAAGCGAGGAGGAGGCUACUCUAGUUAAUACCUAGGGAUAGUGGACGUUACUCGCAGAAUAAGCACCGGCUAACUCUGUGCCAGCCGCCGCCGUAA